GACGAAUCGUGCAAACGUUAUUCGGAAUCACUGGGCAUAAAGGGCGCGUAGGCGGCUUUCUAAGUCAGGGGUGAAAUCCGGCAGCUCAACUGUCGCAGUGCCUUUGAUACUGGAGAGCUCGAGGGAGGUAGGGGUCUGUGGAACUUCCGGUGGAGCGGUGAAAUGCGUUGAUAUCGGAAGGAACGCCGGUGGCGAAAGCGACGGACUGGAUCUCUUCUGACGCUGAGGCGCGAAAGCCAGGGGAGCAAACGGG
rnacentral:rRNA from 1 species